AUGGAGGUGGUUCGUGAGGCAUCUAAUCCAGUGGGAAUUGCAGUUUAUAUAGUAGGUGGGCGGAAUGGUAAAUAUAGUCAUUGUUGCAUUAUACAUCAAGUACCGCUUGUCGCCACACGAGUGCAGUGUCUACCCAUUAAUGAGCGCCACACGAGUGCAGUGUCUACCCAUUAAUGAGCGCCACACGAGUGCAGUGUCUACCCUUUAAUGAGCGCCGUCAUGUUUGAUUGGCUGUCACGGCCAAACGGUUUUGAAUUUGAGAAAUCUGUUUGAUACAUUUUUUCAGCUUGGCCUGACGAUCAUAUUUGCCAAGUUUUAUGAUGAUUGGACAUAAUUUGUGGCCUGUGGAAAUUUACAACUGAUUUUGACAACUUUCAACAUGGUGGUCAAGUUCUGAUGUUGCCAUGAGAUAUAAUUUAUAAGCUAUAUGGGGAGGUCUGACAGUAUCAUGAAACAUUGAAAAUAAGUUUGAAAUGUACACAUGUGAAGAGAGAGGAGUUAAAACACGUCGUCAUUAAUAACAGCGCCCCCUAUAGGUCAAUGGUCACCAAAUUCAUUGAGUGACACCUUUAUGAGGCCAUGGGUAUAUGUACCAAGGUUGGUUAAGAUAUGUCAAAGGGCUGCUGAGAUAUGGGCUUACAUCCGGUUUGGCGGCCUCGCCGCCAAAUUUGAUUGGCUGUCGCGGAUAUUUGUGCAAGAAAUAAUAUACUAGCUAUACGGGGAGGUCUGAUAGUGUCACCAGACAUUGAAAAUAAGUUUUAAAUGUACUCAUGUGAAGAGAGAGGAGUCAAAACACAUUGACAUUAAUAACAGCGCCCCCUAGAGGUCAAAGGUCACCAAAUUCAGUCAGUGUUACCUUUAUGGGGUCAUGGGUCUAUGUACCAAGGUUGGUUAAGAUAUGUCAAAGGGCUGCUGAGAUAUGGGCUUACAUCCGGUUGGGCGGCUUUGCCGCCAAAUUUGAUUGGCUUUAGCGGGCAAACGGUUUAGAAUUUGAAAAGUCUAUCAGAUGUUUUGCAUCAAGCAUGGCCAGAAGAUCAUGUGUGCC
rnacentral:lncRNA from 1 species